rnacentral:rRNA from 1 species
CGUAGGUGCAAGCGUUAAUCGGAAUUACUGGGCGUAAAGCGUGCGCAGGCGGUUUGUAAGUUUGUCGUGAAAGCCCCGGGCGUCAACCUGGGAAUUGCGAUGAAGACUGCAAGGCUUGAAUCUGGCAGAGGGGGUAGGAAUUCCACGUGUAGCAGUGAAAUGCGUAGAGAUGUGGAGGAACACCGAUGGCGAAGGCAGCCCCCUGGGUCAAGAUUGACGCUCAUGCACGAAAGCGUGGGAGCAAACAGGAUU